rnacentral:lncRNA from 1 species
UUUUGAGACAGAGUCUCGCUCUGUCACCCAGGAUGGAGUGCAGUGGCAUGAUCUCAGCUUACUGCAACAUCCGCCUCCUGGGUUCAAGUGAUUCUCCUGCCUCAGCUUCCUGAGUAGCUGGGAUUACAGGCACACACCACCAGGCCCGGCUAAGUUUUGCAUUUUUAGUAGAGACAGGGUCUCACCAUGUUGGCCAGGCUGGUCUUGAACUCCUGGCCUCAGAUGAUCAGAACACUAAUAUUUACUGAAGACAAUGGAUACUUACCAAGGAUUCACUAAGUGGUCUUCAAAGCAUUUUAUAUGUAUAAACUCUUUUAAUCUUCACAUUAAGAUUAUGUAGUGGGUACUCUUAUUAUCUUCAAAUUAAAGAUGAGGAAACAAGUUUAGAGAAGUUAAAAAUACUGGUUGAAGUCCUACUGUUAGCAACGGUAGAGUCGCAAUUUAGAUAGUGGCUGUCUGAUUCUAGAGCUCACACACUUAACGUCUGUGCCAUGUAUAUAAUUACUAUAGAUUGCUUAGGUAAUCAGCCACCUGUCUGGGAAGCUCAGCUCUCCGAAAAUUUCUCAGUGAUAUCACAUUAUAUGCAUAUAACCAGGUGGCUCUGGCUGAGAAUAGAUAUAGAGUUUGUAAACAGUUUUAAACAAGGGUAGGGAAGAGAUUAAUACAUCGUACCUACAUCCUAUUCUUUGUCCUUCCCUGGAUACAUGGGAAGCCUACACUUCCUAGCUCUCUUGCAGUUAGGCAAGGCCACGUGACUAGCUGUAGCCAAUAAAAUGUGAGCAGAAAUGACUUGCAUCACUUCCCACAUAAAACAUGUAAGGGUCAGUGUGGCCCCUCCAUGUUCUCUCUUUCUCUUUAAGGUGACCAUGAAGUCCACAAGUUGAAAUGUCAGAGCCACAGUUUAGAAAUAACCCAGACCUGGAGUCGCUGACUGCAUGAAGGACAGAUUCCCGGAAGAAUCACUCCAUCCCUGUUGGAUUUUGUGUGAACAAGAAACAAAUCUGUUAAAUUAAGCCACUAAACUGCUGGGGUUUACUUAUGACCAUAACCUAGCCUGCCCUAUGUAGGCUACAGCGGCUUAAAUGCCUGCAGGGGUCUGACCAGCAGUUGAAAUGAAAUGAAUGAAGUAGCUGGGCAUGAGUGUAAGAGAAAAUACCCAGGCUGGAAGGGUGACUAUGUUACAUGGGAGAUGCAUGUCCCAUUAGGGGAGAAGAGCUGCUACUCAGAGCUAGUUCAUGAUUUUACGAAAUGAUUUGGAGCCAGCAUUGCAAGAUCUUAACUGGAGAUUUUUUUUUUUUCAAGAAAAUCUGGAAAUACAGAUUUUGAUGUGAAAUUCCCAAUUUUUAAAUGUUGGUAGCUAAUAUAGAUUAACAAAACAAAACAAAAAGAAAAGAAAAACAGACAUCCUUGCUAUUUCCCAAACAUCAUAGGCAUUGUUUCUGCCUCUUGCUGUGCCUCCUGCCUGGAAUACUCUUCCCCUCUAUGCCCACAAGCCUUACUUCUUCUUCUGCUCAGGUGUUUUCCCAAAUGUCACCUUCUCAGGGAGGCCUUUCCUAAUUACUCUUUUAAAAAUUGCAACACCUCCUUCUUUCCACCUUGUACUCUCUCUCCUUCCCUGCUUUUCAAUUUUUCUCUAUACUACUUAUCAUCCUGUAGAAUAAUAGAAUUUUAAAAAUUAUUGGCUGACUGCCCAUAUCCUCCCAUUAUACUCAAAGUAUAUAAGGGUGAGGAUUUUUCCCUGUUUUGUUCACUGUUUUUGCCAAGUGCCUACAGAGGGACCUGGCACACAGUAAGUGCUCAACAAGUAUUUGUUAAGUAAAUGAAUUUUUAAAACAUCCCACCCUGGGGGUCAGAAAAAGCGCAUCUGGAAUGUUGAUUCGAUGUGUGGACCAUUACUUCACAACUCGGGUUUCAGUCCCUCACUGAGCAGCCCUUGGAAAUUAGUGCCAUUUAGAGUGGCAAGCAGUUUCCUGCCUCCCAUGAAGUUGAUGUUUGAUUGAUUUUGCUCUGGGAAAUGGAUCACAGUGGGCUUUAAGAAAACUCUUGUAAAUUCUAGGGGGCCUCAUGCCUGCCUGUGUGCUCACAGAAUACUGUGACAGCAGUCUACUAUUGAUUUUGUCUCUACUGUACAUCCUAGAUUUGUUCAUACCCAAAUUUUUGUCUCAGUCCUGCCCUGUGAACCAGUCCUGGUCUUUAGAACAUGAGCCAAAAUGCAUUCCCCUUUGCUCAUUAAGUUGGUUUGAAUUGAGUUUCUGUCACUGUGGAUGGAGUUCUGAUCAGUAGAAUGUGACUCCCGACUGGCUGUUUUCUGUUUCUGAGUCAUAGUUUCCUCACAUAGAAAAAGGAGGGUGUAAGAUUAAAUAAGCACGAAAGUCUUUUCCGGGAUUCUAACAUUUUGGGAUUCUAACACAUUUAAGCCCCCCAACCCCAUCCCCACCCCUUCAAUGGAGGCUAAACAUUUUUGACUUUAGAUAAACUUGGUUCCCUGGAGCCACGUGGUACUCUCUGGCCUUGGUAUCACCAACCCCUCUGACUUAUGAUGUCUACUGCUCCUACCUCCUUUGGGGGUUGACUGCUCUUGCUAUAUGUUCGGGCCCUGCUCUUAUUGCCAGAGCUGCUUGUAUUUUACUUGUAGCAACUUCAGAUAUAGCCUCCAAUAUAUUUUUCUUCUCUCUGACCUCAACUCCUUUUUGCCUUUCAUUUGUCUCCCCGCACCCCCGCCCUUGGUCCCUGCCUUGCUAAAGUCAUAUCAAUCUGCAGCAUCAAGACAUUUUUAGGUCUUUCAGUCUAGGACCCUCUCAUGUCUUCCUUUCUCAGACUUUUCCCAUUUUUCUCGGGCAUGAGUAAGAAUCUUACUUUAUCAGCUCAAGUCAGAAAGCAACAUUACCUUAUUUUCUUUAAAUCAGAAUAGAAUCUGACUUCAGUCUCCUGUUGGUAGGCCUGGAGGGAAAUGUAAUUUCAGUCACUGUUAGGGAUUCCUCCCCUUACCCCUGAGUCAAACAAAGGUCCUGGGGACUUCAUCUAAAACCAAUCAUUUGGAGGAGUCCCUCCAGCUCAGGGCAUGCUGAUUACUGUGGACGUGCUCAUUUUUCUAGCCCACAUGGUAGCUGCUGGGCCCUACUUGGCCAUGAAAAUAAUGACAACGAUUAACGUUUAUGGAAUGUUACUAACGUGCCAGGGACUUGGUAGUGCUUUACAUAAAUAGUUUUAUAUGAGGCAACUACUCUUUGAUCUAGAACAUUCUUUUCCCAGAUAACUUAUGGUUCUCCCUCAUCUUCCUCAAGGCUUUGCCUAGAUAUUACCUUCUCAAUGAGCAUAUCCUGACCACCAGUAUCUGUGCCCCUCCCUUUCUAAUUCUGCUUUUCCCAGCUCUACUUUGUUUCCAUAACCCUUAUCAUCGUCCAGCAUACCAUGCUGUGUGAUUUACCUACUAAUAGAGUCUUUCAUCUGCCCCCCUCCCCCCACCACUAGAAUGUAAGUUCUGUAAGGGUAGGACCUCCAGUUUUUUAAUUCUUUCUUUCAACUCCUAGAAUAGUACCCAGUAUAUAGUUCAAUAAUUUUUUUUUUUUUUUGAGACAGAGUCUCACCCUAUUACCCAGGCUGGAGUGCAAUGGCGCAGUCUCGGCUCACUGCAACCUCCGUCUCCUGGGUUCAAGUGAUUCUCCUGCCUCAGGCUCCCGAGUAGCUGGCAUUAGAGGCGCGCACCACUGCGCCUGGCUAAUUUUUUGUAUCUUUAGUAGAGACGGGGUUUCACUAUGUUGGCCAGGCUGGUCUCGAACUCCUGACUUCGUGAUCCGCCUGCCUCAGCCUCCCAAAGUGCUGGGAUUACAGGCAUAAGCCACUGCGCCCAGCCCUAAACAUUUGUAGAAUAAUAGUCCUAGUUUUACAGAUGAGGAAACAGGCAAUAAAGGGAAGUAACUACCCCAUGUCACACAGCCAGCAAGUGGCAGAGUUUGGGUUCAAACUCAGCCCAUCUGAUUUCUUUUUAGGACUGCAUUCUUUCUGUGAACUGGCUAUCCUCACACUUAGACCUGGCUGCCCAGGGCACAUCCUAUAGCCACUCCUCCCAGAGGCCCUGCCGUAUCCCUGGGGCACUGGGAGGACACAGAGCAUAGGUCCCAAUCCUCAGUGAACCCAUGAAUCUUCCCCCUCUUUCAGCUCAACCCCCAUUCUUUCCCCAAAUACUCCCCACUUCCAGAAUAUCUAAUAUUAUAUCCUCAAUUAGAUUAAACUCUUAUUUAUACCACGAAAAGAGUUUAUCUUUUAAGAAACCCCUCCUGAGACCAAGAAAUAGAAGGGCUACUUAGAAUGAGGAGGUGGGAUAUCUGGAAAACAAAGCAGAAGUAGCUCGGAGUGUCUCUCUGUGUGUGUGUGAGAGAGAGAGAGAGAGAGAGAGAGUGUGUGAGCAUGUGUGUGAGUAUGUGUGAGAGUGUGUGUGUCAGUGAGUGUGUGUGUGAGUGUGUGUGUGAGAGUGUGUGUGUGAUGAGCACUCCAGGCUCCCUUUCCCAAACCAGCUGAAAGAUCCCCUUUUUCUCUUCUUUAAAACAGUUCUGAAAUCUAGCCAUGCCACCAAUACCUGCAGAAACAUUCUGGAUGGAACAGGCUUGCCCAGACCCUCCUCUCCAGAAGGUAAAUUUCUAACCAGACCUGCUGCCAGAUGAACAAGUCCCCUGGGAAGGAAUCCCUUCUUCAGUCUUCAAGUCAAACUGCUUCUGUGCUAACCAAAGGCUAAGCCUGCCAGGGAGGGGGCAGUGCCACCUGCUUCCAAAGGCGCUGUGACAGCUCUUGUUUAUUGAAGAGGGCUGCCCAUCCCAGUGAAGUAAGAUAACCAGGAAUUUUAUUUCUGAGAGAGAGUAUCCUGGGCCUCCACAUCAAGGAGCAGGAAAGCUCAGCCUUGGCUUCUUGAGCUAUAUCCCAGGGAGCUGUAUCAGCAAAUGGACAGGUGGAACUCUGAUGCCUUCACCAAGAUGGUUGAACAAGAGAACAAGAUAGAGUUCUCAUCAGCUGAACAAAAGAAAUCAUGACAGAGACUAGAAGAUGUAAAGGCCUAGUUUCGGAGACAGAGACAAGUAAUUUCCCUGAAAUGUUAUUUGUGCCAUGUGGGUCACAGCUGAACUGCUGAGGGAAGCAUUUUCAGAACAUCACAGAGGGAAGAGUCAUGGGUCUAAACCUUUUAAAGACUACAUUUUUUAAAGGUCAACUGCUUUUUCCCUGGAGGGGAUCCUUGUAAUAGGUACUAUAGAGAAGGAUAAUUAAUAAUCAUGAUGUUGAGAAAGUGGCCUGAAAAAGAAAAAAAAAAAACUUGGAACCAGCUUCUCAUCGAAGAUGUGCCUCUCUCCCUCCCUGCAUUGCUGUGAUCUAGGGUUGCAGUGAUGCCCAGUUUUCCAGACCCUAGCUCUCACAGUCCGGACCAACUUGCAGCUGCAUUUCAGUAUCAAUCCAAUUUACAGAGCUGGAAUUACGUUGUAGCGGGGCCCACUAACAUGAACAUACAUUGUAAAUUCUUUUUCCUCCUAUUUGUAUUUUCAAUAUUCUUUGUUAAUUGUGAUAAUCCCUUAUGACAAAUGUGUGAUGUAUUUGCGUACCUCAGAUUGAGCAUAUGUCUGGUAUGAAACAAGUUGCCCCACAAAAAAUUGGGGAGAGGCCGGGCAUGGUGGCUCAUGCUUGUAAUCCCAGCACUUUGGGAGGCUGAGGCAGGUGGAUCACUGAGUCCGGGAGACCAGCCUGGGCAACGUGGCAAGACCCCAUCUCUACAAAAAAAUGCAAUACUUAGCUGGGCAUGGUUAGGCACACCUGUGAUCCCAGAUACUCAGGAGGCUGAGGUGGGAGGAUCAUUUGAGCCCAGGAGGUCAAGUUUGCAGUGAGCUGUGAUUGUGCCACUGCAUUCCAGCCUGGCAACAGAAUGAAACCCUGUCUCAAAACAACACAACCACACACACACACACACACACACAAAAUUGGGGUAAGAACAAAAAAUUGGGGGAAGAAAUUGGACAUAUGAGUUUUGAAGGCAUAACAUCUGCCUUCUCAUUGCUGAGACAAGUCAUCUAUUUUUAACUUCCAUUUUCACGUUAAGGAUUUCUCCCAGGCUAUCCUUCAAUCUCUACCAUCUCUGAAUUCCAAAGUUUUCUGUCCUUGCUCCUUGGGGUGUUCCGCAGCCUCCUGUCAGACUCUCCAAGGCUCCUUGUCUGCUGGGACUGUGCAUGCCCCACCGAGGCCACAUCCUACCAAUAUUGCAGCUUGGCUCCAGAAUGGAUUAGAUAAUUUUUGCUAAGCUCCUGCAGCUAGGUGUGUUUUUGUGAGGCUCACCCUAUUCUCAGAGUUGUGAAUCAUGACAGCUGACCCUUACUGAGCACGCAUAUAUGCUAGGCACGUGCUAUGCUUUUUAUGUGCAUCAUCUUGGUUAAUCCUAAUAAGAAGCUCAUCCUUCUCAUCAGCUCUGCUUUACAGAUGGGACACUAAGGAACAGAGAGGUUAAAUGACAUGCACACAGUUACAAAUCUAGUGGUAGUGCUGGAAUUUGAACCCAGUCAACCUGACUCCAGAAUCUGUGUUCUUGAUCAUGAUGCUAUUGAUGGGUUCCAGCUUUUAGCCCAUUUCCUGCAGGGUCCUUUGAGUUGCAGUUAAUUGGGUCAGGUGCAGCUGUACCAUGAGAUAAGAUAGGUGUUCAAUAAAUUCCACCCUAGAAUCAUUUGUUGAACAUUUACUGGGUACAAGACACUGUGCUCACUUGUAAACCUGGGGUGUGGGUUUUGGUGUGGAGAUGAAACAUGCUAUUUAGUCACUGAAAUGAUCAAGAAGGAAAUCCUUUUGUUUGUAAGAAUAGUAGAUCUGACCUGAGACAAAAUUGUGAUCUUUCUGUGUCUCAUUGUCUGGCCUUUCUCAAACCCUGACCCUGUCCUUUCUUCAACUUAGGAAGCCUCUUCUGCUUUUCCACCCAGGAUCUUCUCUCCAUGUUUCUGAACCCAGCGCUGCACUCAGAAACAGGGCAGGUGCCUCUCCGUGCAUCUGAAGGCUUUACCUUCAGACCGUCCAGGUGUGCAUACUUCAAUGUUUAUUUAGUUGCCUGCCUCUGGGGAGCAUCCCAGCCUCACUGAGCUUAUACCUUGGGACACCUUGGAAGGUGAAGGCAGCCGAGUCCUUAUCGUAGAGUAAAAUAAGACAAGAACUCUAAAGUGAGGAAAGGCCCCAAACUAAGCAACAAAAGGUGUUGUUUUCUUGAAAAUGAUGACGGAAAUAUUACAAAUAUUGAUUGGUUGCAGAGGUAAUACAUUUGUCAAAGCUCAUCAAAUUGUGCUAAGGAAUACCUUUGCAUUUGUCUGUGUAUAAAUUUUACCUAAAUAAAAGCUUUUUUUUCCUAAGAAAUAAAAAUGCCAUAGUGCUAAAAGGACACUAGUAAGCAGAGAGCCGUUUCCAAGUACAUCAUCUAAGAGCCAUUUGUUCAACAAAUAUUUAUUGAGCACCUGAUAAGUACCAGGGACUGUCCUAGAAUCCAUCAGCAAUGAGACAAAGGUCCCUGUCUCCAUGGAGCUUACAUGCUAGCAGGGCCCUUGAAAGUGGCAGGCAGAGGCGGGCGCUUUGGCUGAUUGUUUGCCCUGAUUGCUGAUCUCAAGAGGAGCAACUGGAAGCUCUAGUCUCAGAGGGGCUCAGUGAUUCAUGGAAAAGGGAGUUUCCUGAAUGUCAGGUCUAGGGUUAGGCUGCAGCCCAUGCUGAGGUCUGAAGGGAGUGGGUGGAUGAAUGGCAGAUAGCUGAAAGAACACUUAAGGAGCUGUAGGUAGGUGAGAUACAGCUUUAUUCAGCAGCUCUCUCAUCAGCAGCUCUCUUACACGGUCUGCUCUGUCUCAGCUGCUUGAUCUGGCUGCUCCCAUGCACAGCUGCGCUGCUGGCUUUCCCUUCAGGGUCAGCAGCUUAACUCUUUCUCUGUCUGGGCAUGAGCGGGCCUAUACAGUGUCAGCAGGGCAAUUAUACCUUUUACAGACAAUAGUGGCUUAGAGCCAAAUGAUGAGCCUUCCCAUGCUAUGGCUACAUGGAUGUGAUGACAAGUGGAGUAAUACACCUAUGCUCUAAACUUGCUGAAUCACUCUCGGUGUUUACCUGGGGCUAUCGCUGACCGAAGCAUAGCCAUGUUCCUUACACUGAAAAAGCCUCUGAAUGCCUAGGGGAAAAAAGUCCUUACAUGCUUGGGGGCUAGAGCCGCACUUUCCGGUGAGGCCCAGAAGAGUCUGCAAAUCUUCCAGCCCCAUCCCCAGUGUCUCUUUGUGGCUUGAGAGGGUGGCUCACCCACCGCCUUACCAUAUGAUCCAUGCCCUCUCCCCCCUAGCAAGGCACCUCCACCAGGGGCCCGGCUUCCUUCAGGCACAUGUGCCCACAGGGCAUGGGCUCUGGCAGAGGCCAGCAAACCUGGAGGCUGGAAGCUCAUUUUCUGAGCUCCAGGAAGGGCGGGGAGGUGUGGGUUCUUUUUGAAACCAGACCUAUGUGCUUAGAAACACCACAGAAGGGCUGGGCAGAGCCACUGGGGGUUGGAUGGGGUUGCUGUGAAUCAUAGGAACUCUAGGCUAGAAGAAGCCAUCUGAGAGGGGAGGUAGGUUCUUUUGAAGUCUCAAAAUCUUUAUUUAAAACAGAAUCCAAGAACCUUUGAUCAUGCAGCAAAGUUUAUGACAUUAUAUACGUAAUAAAGGACAAUGAAGCAACAUAUAAUCCUUGUUAAUUAAAAUGGUCUAAAUUACAUGUAAUCUCUGAAUUUACAAAGAUAGCACAAUGUAUGCAAUAAAUCCUAUUUCACAGUCUUUUUUUAGUAACAACAAG